rnacentral:rRNA from 1 species
AACGAACGCUGGCGGCAUGCCUAACACAUGCAAGUCGAACGAGACCUUCGGGUCUAGUGGCGCACGGGUGCGUAACGCGUGGGAACCUGCCCUUAGGUUCGGAAUAACUCCCCGAAAGGGGUGCUAAUACCGGAUAAUGUCUUCGGACCAAAGAUUUAUCGCCUUUGGAUGGGCCCGCGUUGGAUUAGCGAGUUGGUAGGGUAAAAGCCUACCAAGGCGACGAUCCAUAGCUGGUCUGAGAGGAUGAUCAGCCACACUGGGAAUGAGACACGGCCCAGACUCCUACGGGAGGGAGCAGUGGGGAAUAUUGGACAAGGGGCGAAAGCCUGAUCCAGCAAUGCCGCGUGAGUGAUGAAGGCCUUAGGGUUGUAAAGCUCUUUUAGCCGGGAUGAUAAUGACAGUACCGGGAGAAUAAGCUCCGGCUAACUCCGUG